rnacentral:misc_RNA from 1 species
GUCUUUCACUUUUUGCACGUAUGCAUAGCAUAGCGAUCUGACCAAAUUCCCAUAAUUUUAGAAGUUUUGAUAAAAUGCUGCGUUUGCUUGUCUUGGCUUGAUCAAGUUCAUGGUCAAAUAUUGAAAUUCGGACACAUGUCUGAUUAUUAUAUCAUUAGUUCUGUUAUUAAUAUGUACUCAAAGUGUGAAGCAAUGGUACUUGCUCGUCAAGUCUUUGAUGAAAGUAUUGAUCUGAAUGUGGUUUGCUGGACUAGUCUUGUUAGUGGGUACUGUGGUAAUGGAUUGAUCAAUGAAGCGCGUAAGAUGUUUGAU